rnacentral:rRNA from 1 species
UACGGGGGGAGCAAGCGUUGUUCGGAUUUACUGGGCGUAAAGGGCGCGUAGGCGGCCACCGCAGGUCGACUGUGAAAUCUCCGGGCUUAACCCGGAAAGGUCAGCCGAUACUGCGGGGCUAGAGUGCAGAAGGGGCAACUGGAAUUCUCGGUGUAGCGGUGAAAUGCGUAGAUAUCGAGAGGAACACCUGCGGCGAAGGCGGGUUGCUGGGCUGACACUGACGCUGAUGCGCGAAAGCUAGGGGAGCGAACGGG